GGUGAAGGGCAUCCACAAUUGCAUCAAAUACACAAAAAUGGAUUCAGAGAAAUGAAUUAACAAACACAUGCAAGCUGAAACGGUUCUUGCAUGCAAGGAAGACAAGGAACUUCAAAGGACAAAAAUACUUACCGUUUCAAAUGGAAAUCUGAUCGGUGCAAAUGAAAGAUCUUGUCACCGGGAAGAUUUAAUCUGAAAGUGGUUUGAUGAUCAGAGAAGAAAAAAAGGUGAGAAAACUUAGAGAGAAGUAGAGGAGGAGGAGAAAUGGAGGCUCUGGAAGAUGAACAAGAAGGGUUGCAUGCAGAAAGUGACACCAUAUUUAAAAUCCCAGUAUAAAUACCGCCCCUAAAAACCGAACGGUCCACUCCCUGUCUUCCACUUUCUGGAAACUCACAUUCUCCCUGCCGCCACAUGGUUCACGAUGGAUGAGGAAUUUAAUGCACAAGACACCUUGUCCCCCACUAGCCCAAGGAAUUAAAU
rnacentral:lncRNA from 1 species